GACGAACGCUGGCGGCGUGCCUCAUACAUGCAAGUCGAGCGGAUGUAGUAAUACAUCAGCGGCGGACGGGUGAGUAACACGUGGGUAACCUGGCCUUAAGAGGGGGAUAACGUUCCGAAAGGGACGCUAAUACCGCGUAAAGCGGUUUGAUCGCAUGAUCGAACUGGAAAAGGAGAAAUCCGCUUAAGGAUGGGCCCGCGGCCUAUUAGCUAGUUGGUAGGGUAAUGGCCUACCAAGGCGACGAUAGGUAGCCGACCUGAGAGGGUGAACGGCCACACUGGAACUGAGAACGGUCCAGACUCCUACGGGAGGCAGCAGUAGGGAAUAUUCCGCAAUGGGCGAAAGCCUGACGGAGCAACGCCGCGUGAGUGAAGAA
rnacentral:rRNA from 1 species